UUCAGCCCGUCCCAGCCGUCACCCCCAACCCUGUGGAUUAAACCCCUGCCCCCGCCGCGGUCGCCCUCCCUCCAGACAAAGGCCAUUAAGGCGCAGCCCUGCGGGCGGUCUUUCAUCCCCAGCUAGUCCAGCUCUAGCAUUUCAAAGGCCGAGUCCAGAGAGCGCUUCGGGGGCGCUCACCUUCCCCCCAGUAUCAGGGGGAAGGGGCCUCUCCCUCCGCUCCCAGUGGGUCGCUUCUACACGCGCCCUUCCACACACCUGCAGGCCCCCUCCCCAGGUUUCUCCCUUCCGUUGUCUGCAGUCCCACACCGUGACCCCCGCGGUCAAGCACGCCCUCUGGGUGGUCAGGACCAAGCGGGACCGGGACAGAACCAGGAGAGCCUUGGAAACGUGGAGAAGCCCCUGAAAGCCAGGUCCCUCCAGGGGGAACUUGGGCCGCUCGGGAGGGGACACCCACUGGAUGGCUUCUGGAAGGAGCCGGACUCGCAGAGUCAGGACGCAGGCCGGACCCCGGCCUCAUUCCUCGGCCAGUUAUCCUGGAGUCGCGUGUAUCCUGUCCUGGGCCUCGGACUCCUCCGGGCAGAGGGGCCCCGAGGUCACCUCUGUGGGGUUACAGUACUUGGUGUGACGGUGUGGAAAGCAAGGAGGAAGGUCGCGUUGUAUUGGGGGUGGGGUACCCGUCCCUCCCAGCUUGCGGGGUCCUGGAGGUCCUCGCCGCCUCUGAGGGCCUAGAUGGCUGCCUCCCUGGGCUUCCCUGCCCGGCCUGGAGCUACGGGUGCGCCCAGCUAGAGUUUAGGGCCACCUGGGGACGUGGAAGGGGCGCUGGAGCGAGGCGGGGGCUGGGGCGGGGCGUGGGUGCUUCACCCGCGGGACGCAGAGCUUAAGCGAAAGCGGUGCAGGCAUCUCUCUAAUCGCCGGCCUCUAUUAAAAUUAAAACCGCGACCCGUCGCCAUGGCGACCACAACAACAGCGGCCGAGCGAGGGAGGCGAAAACUUGUGCAGCCGCGCGACAGCCACGUUCUGGGGAGACGCGGGGCACGGCGCGCCCGGCGUGGGACAGGGACCCCCCCUGCCCGGCCCCGCCCCAUCCUCCGCCGGAUCCCGGAAGAAACAAGAAGACGUGGACCCCCACAGGCUUUUUGGGGGAAUUGGGCGUUGAAACCGCAGGGCCGACUUAACCAAGAGGUCGCCGACUUGGAUAAAAACCCACGUCCGCGGGGAGCACCCUCCCCGGCCUUCGUUUCCAUUCAGACUCCCAGCGUCCUCACUGCAGCCCCUGGAGAGCGGGCGGAGGGAGAAAGUGCGUUUCAGCCGCUCGACCCAGGAGGGGACGGUGCGACCCGGGCCUCGCCGGCGGGUUUUGGCCGCGGAAGCUGCAGCACCUGCCCCGCCCGCCCUGCCGCGAUCCUUGCAGAUGGGGGCGGUCACAUGCUUCUUUCUGGCCGGGAAUCGAGUUUCACUUCCAGCCGCUAUUAGUCGGUUCGCACAGUUCACUGCAAACAUUUGAUAAUGAGGCUAAAUAUACUCCCGCGUCGGAGGAGGCGUGGGCGGCCAGAUCGCGUGGGCACUGCGCUCGGAGCUCCGCCGGGCGUCCCCUCCCAGGCCCAGGAGACAGAGGCGCGGACCCCGGGACGGAGGCUGGCUUUGUGCGGGAGGGAGACGCGCCCCGCGCGCCGCCCCCCGAAACAUUCCCACCCCAGGUUGCGGCGCGCGUCUGGGAGGCCGUGGGCGCCCCGAGGGGCAUUUGUACGUGGGGUGUACAGGCAGGAACAGGAAAGAAGCGAGGGGCCACCCAGGAACAGUGGUUGUGGUCAACACUCCGGAUCCCCAGUUCCAAGGUUCGAGGAGGGGGCACAGGCAAGUUCUCUCCUCUGCUCUCUGCCCCUUGACCUUGGCCUUGGUGAGAUCUGUCCCUAGACUGCCCUGGGUGUCCCUUGCCUCAUCUGAAAAGCGGGAGGUGGACAGCCGUCCCUGCGCCAGCUGCCUCCACUCUCAGGAAGCCUCCCUCCCACCCACCUGCCCAGGAAAAGCUGCACUGGGGUGCCCUGGGCAAGGGCACUGUUGACCACCUGCCUGCACCUGGGUUGGGGGUAGGGGGGCCAGCUGGGCACCCAAAUCCUGGCUGCUGCUCCCCAGUGCCAGGGCAGAUUUCAGAACAAUUUGUAAUGGCGAAACCCGUUUCCCUUUAUCUCUGGGCAAGGCUUUCUCCGUUCUAGGCAAUUAAUCCAAAAGCAACCCCAGCCAAGUGGGCUGGACUCCUUGAAGAUCAAAACUGCCCAGCCCAGGUGUUAAUUAAGUCAUUAUCUCAGGCCCCCAGCGACUAGGGAUCAGGCCUUUCCAGUUCACGCUCUCCAGAAACGUAGAUAACCCCCGCCGGCCGCCAGCAGGGUGGGAAGGCUCUCUCUCCAUGUUGUUUUAACUCCCUAUUAAAUCAUUGUAUUUUCUUUUAAACACACAAAUAGAAGUGAAGUUGAAAAUAGCACACAAGCCCACAAUCGUUGUGUGAACAUUUUGUGAAUGAAGACAUGCAUGAAAGGACAUUUGGCAGCUUCAAGAAACAAAAGCCGAGAGUCUAGCUAGACCAGGGCCAUCCAGCCCAGGAGCGAUGGCCACGCGUGGCCGCUGGGCACGAGAGAUGUGGCCGGUCCAAACUGCACACUACAGUAAGUGCAGAAUGCAUACCAGGUUUCAAAUGCUUACUAAAGAAUGCAAAAUUUCUCAAUUGGGAAUUUUUGUAUGAAUUUCAGGUUGAAAAAACAUUUUGGAUACAUGGAGUUAAAUAAACAUGAUUACAAUGAA